rnacentral:misc_RNA from 1 species
AAGUCGUAACAAGGUUUCCGUAGGUGAACCUGCGGAAGGAUCAUUACAACGUAUCCACGUAAACUCGUGAACUGUUCCCAAUGGAGUAAAAACACACUUGUGGAUGAAGUUAAUGUUCGCUAGCUUUUCGCUGGUGGAGUUGCCGGAUCUUUUGUUUCUGGCAACUGAGAAGCUGUCGAGCGCCGGCACUGCCGGGACUUCGUUUACUCUGUUGCGGUUUUGCCCAUCAGCACCGUUUUACCAUUAUUAACCCUUUGAAAUCUGAACUGACCUCAAAACUCUGCUGACGUCCUGGUUGGCUUGGGUCACGGACUAGCCGCAGCGCGAGUUUGUACAUUACGAAACAAAGAACAACUCUUAGCAACGGAUAUCUUGGUUCUC